rnacentral:tRNA from 1 species
GCCUGGAUGGCUCAGUUGGUUUGAGCGACCGACUUCAGCUCAGGUCAUGACCUCGCAGUUCGUGGGUUCGAGCCCCGCGUCGGGCU